UCCAUCUGUGCUGGGUAGAGCAUCGAGCUGGCAACUUGGCCUCGUAGAAUAAAACAGACAAAAGUGCGAGAGAAACGGCAAGGUUGCCACCCGAUGCAGCACAGGUCAAGGGAAGGAACAACAACAACAACUUGAUAUUCUGUGGCUGUCGUUUAGAAUACUGUGGUUAACUUUGGGCAAUGAAUAUUUAGACCUCAGUAGUUCACAGCCAUCACAAUAACGGAUAUGUUGGUUGACGAGCAGCGAUCAGUCAGAUAACAGAACUUGAUAACGUUACUUCCUCCUGGGAAUGGAAGCUGGUUCAUCAAUUAGUGAGAAGCAAUGGAUUUGACUCCAGACCGUGAUUGGUCACCACAUUCAAAUGAGUGGGCUGGUCUAGACAUGUGAUCCCCCCACCGCCCCCCAACCCCCAUUGGCUGGGAUAAAGCAGAGGGACCAAGUACAUUACACCUAAAUUCAGGGCCAUUUGGAACCAUUCGUGGACUUCAUGUGGUGCCCUGAAUCUUGCAUGGCCUCUCCAGAGAGAGCAGAUAAAGCCUUGGCUUCUCAUUCUAUUGGAAAGACAGCACCUUCAUCAAUGUAAAUAUCCAUCAGCACCAUGCCAGACUUGACUUUGUGCUCAGACCACUGGAAUCUAGUG